GACGAACGCUGGCGGCGUGCUUAACACAUGCCAGUCGAACGGAAAGGCCCUGCUUUUGUGGGGUGCUCGAGUGGCGAACGGGUGAGUAACACGUGCGUCACCUGCUCUUGACUUUGGGAUAAUUUCAGGAAACUGGGGCUAAUACUGGCUCGGAGCUCCUGCUGCAUGGUGGGGGUUGGAACGUUUCGGCGGUCGGGGAUGGACGCGCGGCUUAUCAGCUUGUUGGUGGGGUGGUGGCUCACACAGGCGUUGACGGGUAGCCGGCCUGGGAGGGUGACCGGCCACAUGGGGACUGAGAUACGGCCCAGACGCCUACGGGAGGCAGCAGUGGGGAAUAUUGCACAAUGGGGCGAAGCCUGAGACAGCAACGCCGCGUGCGGGAUGACGGCCUUCGGGUUGUAAACCGCUUUCGCCUGUGACGAAGCGUGAGUGACGGUAAUGGGUAAAGAAGCACCGGCUAACUACGUG
rnacentral:rRNA from 1 species